AACGAACGCUGGCGGCAUGCCUAACACAUGCAAGUCGAACGACACCUUCGGGUCUAGUGGCGCACGGGUGCGUAACGCGUGGGAACCUGCCCUUAGGUUCGGAAUAACUCCCCGAAAGGGGUGCUAAUACCGGAUAAUGUCUUCGGACCAAAGAUUUAUCGCCGUUGGAUGGGCCCGCGUUGGAUUAGCUAGUUGGUAGGGUAAAAGCCUACCAAGGCGACGAUCCAUAGCUGGUCUGAGAGGAUGAUCAGCCACACUGGGACUGAGACACGGCCCAGACUCCUACGGGAGGCAGCAGUGGGGAAUAUUGGACAAUGGGCGAAAGCCUGAUCCAGCAAUGCCGCGUGAGUGAUGAAGGCCGUAGGGUUGUAAAGCUCUUUUACCCGGGAUGAUAAUGACAGUACCGGGAGAAUAAGCUCCGGCUAACUCCGUG
rnacentral:rRNA from 1 species